rnacentral:lncRNA from 1 species
CCCAGUUCGUUCGUCGUCCUCGCACUAUCCUCUACUCUUCUCGCUAGGGUUUCAAUUUCGUCGUCGAACAGCCACCUAUUUAUUGAAAUUUUGUGAGUUCUUCAACCUCUAGAAAAUCUCCAAUCCUAACCCUAACUCACCAAUCUAAAGCGGAGUUCAGAAUAACCUCGAUGCUUUUAGUCGUUAAUUCGUUCUUGGAUGCAAGAAAGAAGACAACGAAGAGUUGGGAGAUGAAAAGUCGUGCUCAGAGAACGACCUUCGCAUGAUGAGAAGCACAUGCUUAUUCAUUACGUGGCUGCCAGGGAAUCCGAAUGUCUACAGGUGAAAGUCUGAAUUUGGGGCUCUUGAAUUGAUUGGCUUUCUCUUCCUUUGUUAUUUCAAUUUCUUACUGCGACUCAAAAGGUUAUCUAUCGUUUGCUAGGUUGGUGAUGUGGUAUUGUUCGUGUGCAAUUCCUCAGUUGACUGCGGCGGAUCGAGACAAUUGGUAAGGUGCAGUGCACAUUGGUAAAAUUUCUGGACAUUUAUUGUUUCUGACUAAACAUGUGUGGCCAAUUUUUUUUUGAUGUACCUUGUAAUCCAUAGUUGGCAUGAGCGAGGUAUAAAAUAUCGGUGAUAUCGAAAAUAUCGGUAGUCUAAAAAUACGAAAAUUUUAAUGAAAAUAUCGGGAUAUUAUCAAUAUCGAUAAAAAUUGAAUAAAAAAUAAUUGAUGUUACAAAAAAAUUAAUAAGAUGGUAAGAAAGUUGUGA